GGGGGCCCGCACAAGCGGCGGAGCAUGCGGAUUAAUUCGAUGCAACGCGAAGAACCUUACCAAGGCUUGACAUGGACCGGACCGGGCUGGAAACAGUCCUUCCCCUUUGGGGCCGGUUCACAGGUGGUGCAUGGUUGUCGUCAGCUCGUGUCGUGAGAUGUUGGGUUAAGUCCCGCAACGAGCGCAACCCUCGUUCCAUGUUGCCAGCGCGUAAUGGCGGGGACUCAUGGGAGACUGCCGGGGUCAACUCGGAGGAAGGUGGGGACGACGUCAAAUCAUCAUGCCCCUUAUGUCUUGGGCUUCACGCAUGCUACAAUGGCCGGUACAAAGGGUUGCGAUACUGUGAGGUGGAGUUAAUCCCAAAAAGCCGGUCUCAGUUCGGAUUGGGGUCUGCAACUCGACCCCAUGAAGUCGGAGUCGCUAGUAAUCGCAGAUCAGCAACGCUGCGGUGAAUACGUUCCCGGGCCUUGUACACACCGCCCGUCAAGUCACGAAAGUUGGUAACACCCGAAGCCGGUGGCCUAACCCCUUGUGGGAGGGAGCUGUCGAAGGUGGGACUGGCGAUUGGGACUAAGUCGUAAACAAGGUAACCGUAAGGGC
rnacentral:rRNA from 1 species